rnacentral:rRNA from 1 species
UGGGGAAUAUUGCACAAUGGGCGCAAGCCUGAUGCAGCAACGCCGCGUGAGGGACGACGGCCUUCGGGUUGUAAACCUCUUUUGGCAGGGAAGAAGCGAAAGUGACGGUACCUGCAGAAAAAGCACCGGCUAACUCCGUGCCAGCAGCCGCGGUAAUACGGAGGGUGCGAGCGUUAUCCGGAUUUACUGGGUUUAAAGGGUGCGUAGGUGGGCUUAUAAGUCAGUGGUGAAAUCUCCGAGCUUAACUUGGAAACUGCCGUUGAUACUAUAGGUCUUGAAUUAUCUGGAGGUAAGCGGAAUAUGUCAUGUAGCGGUGAAAUGCUUAGAUAUGACAUAGAACACCAAUUGCGAAGGCAGCUUACUACAUAUAAAUUGACGCUGAGGCACGAAAGCGUGGGGAUCAAACAG